AUUGAACGCUGGCGGCAUGCUUUACACAUGCAAGUCGAACGGCAGCGCGGGCUUCGGCCUGGCGGCGAGUGGCGAACGGGUGAGUAAUGCAUCGGAACGUGCCCAGUAGUGGGGGAUAGCCCGGCGAAAGCCGGAUUAAUACCGCAUACGACCUGAGGGUGAAAGCGGGGGACCGAAAGGCCUCGCGCUAUUGGAGCGGCCGAUGUCGGAUUAGCUAGUUGGUUGGGUAAAGGCUUACCAAGGCGACGAUCCGUAGCUGGUCUGAGAGGACGACCAGCCACACUGGGACUGAGACACGGCCCAGACUCCUACGGGAGGCAGCAGUGGGGAAUUUUCGACAAUGGGGGCAACCCUGAUCCAGCCAUGCCGCGUGCGGGAAGAAGGCCUUCGGGUUGUAAACCGCUUUUGUUCGGGAAGAAAAACUCUGGACGAAUACCCCGGGGGGAUGACGGUACCGGAAGAAUAAGCACCGGCUAACUACGUG
rnacentral:rRNA from 1 species